rnacentral:rRNA from 1 species
AUAAUUUUGGAGCUAAUACGUGCCUCGAGUCGACGGCCUCACGGCGUCGCGCACUUAUUAGACCAAGACCAAUCGUGCUUGCACGUUUUGGUGACUCUGAAUAAUUCGCUGAUCGCACGGUCUUGUACCGGCGACGUAUCGUUCGAGUAUCUGCCUUAUCAACUUUCGAUGGAAGUCUAUGUGGCUACCAUGGUUGUUACGGGUAACGGAGAAUUAGGGUUCGACUCCGGAGAGGGAGCCUGAGAAACGGCUACCACAUCCAAGGAAGGCAGCAGGCGCGAAAAUUACCCACUCUCAAUGCGAGGAGGUAGUGACUAUCAAUAACGAGACAGAUCUCUAUGAGGCCUGUCAUCGUAAUGGGUACAAUGUAAACCCUUUAACGAGGAUCUAUGAGAGGGCAAGUCUGGUGCCAGCAGCCGCGGUAAUUCCAGCUCUCAUGGCGUAUAUCGUCAUUGCUGCGGUUAAAAAGCUCGUAGUUGGAUCUGUGCCAAUGUGCGUGGUUUCCCCUUCGGGGUUACUGCUGUGCUUGGUUUGUGUCGGUUUUCCGGCGUGGCUUUAAUCGGCUGCGUCGGUGGCUGACGAGUUUACCUUGAAUAAAUCAAAGUGCUCAAGACAGGCGUUUCGCUUGUAUGCUUCUGCAUGGAAUAAUGGAAUAGGACUUCGGUUCUUUUCUGUUGGUCUUAGGAUCGAAGUAAUGAUUAAGAGGGACAGACGGGGGCAU